GGGCCGGUAGCUCAGCUGGUAGAGCAACGGACUUUUAAUCCGUAGGUCGGAGGUUCGAUCCCUCCCCGGCUCA
rnacentral:tRNA from 1 species